AUGCCUCGGGGCGCCGGCUUCUCCGGGUCCAAGCCCGUUGCCAAGUCCAAGCGGGCCACCGGCGCCGCCCUCUGCGUCCUCUCAUGGAUAAUGGCGUUGAUCGCGGAGCGGUUCUUCUUGCUAGGUGCGGCGAGGAACAUCCCCAUGACGCGCGAAACUAGCCAGGGCCGGGGCUGUCACCCCGUCAAGGACGGCGUCUUCAUGAUGGGGGCCGUUCUUAGCAUCGUCGCCACCGUGCUCGGGAUCAUAUCUUACAUCAUGCUUUACGCGGCGGCGGCAGGUGCUAAUACUACUACUAGUACAAUGAGGGCCGUGGCGGGCCCGUCGCCGGCAGGCGAGAUCAACCAUGACGGGAUCGCGAUCGGCCACCCUGUUGCCGCUCAACAACACGCACAAGCUGUGUAG
rnacentral:rRNA from 1 species